AUCAGGACUCCCCUCCUCCUCUAGCUAGAUUUGAGAGACACUUGCCAUUAUCUCAUCAUUAUUUUAUCAUGUUAAUGUACUUGUGUAACCUUUUAUAUUUUCUAAAUAUGAAAAAUAUUUUACAGAGAUUACAUUUGACGCAGCUGCUUCCUGAAGACCUAGAGAUCACUUUAAUCUUACAAGCACAUUCUUCAGAUUGUCGUGUGGGUGGGUAACUUCCGCCAGACUUUUCUGGAGAUGGCUAAUCCAGCCGUGGGAUGUGGUUUCUUCUAACAGCCAGUCAGGAAAAUCUUGCUUCUCAAACUCCUGUCUUGACCCCUUCCUGAACUUUGCCUCCUGGAUCUUGAGGUCUGCCUUCUGUGGAAGAGAAAUACUAGAAUCAAUGAACUGUGAACUAGAGCCCUGGGAUUAUCAACAGCCAGCUGAAAUUUUGAGAGCCACCUUAUAGAAAGCCUAACAGCAAAGACUGGAGAGAGGCUUCCAGCCAACAGCCAGCAAGGAAUUGAAGCCCUCAGUCCAAUAGCAGUGAGGAAUUGAAUCCUGCCAACAGCCUCGUGGAUGGGUUGCUUGCUGCCUGAAUCUAACUCCUGCUACUACUGCAAAUACCACUGCCAUGAAUAUCCUCAGCAAGACCCCCUUCCAGACCUGCAUGAACAGUUGUGUGAAAUGUAUAUGCACAAAGGGACUGCAAGGGAAGACCCAGAGACUAGGGAAGAACUUGGAACAAUAAUCUCAGUUUCUUCAAUUCCUAAACUUGAGAGUAUUGCUGUUUUUAAAUGAAAGUAUUUUUUCCCCCUAAGCAUUUUGUUCUAAAGUUGAGCUGCCUUUGAGGGGAAAUAAAGAGACUACCAGAUUAAUGGGUUUUUUUCAAAUGGGAUGGUGGGGUAAGGAAUAAUCGGGGUGGUCUGUGGAACAACUUGGAGGAUUGGUGUUAUGUCUCAAGAAGAUAUUCAAGUAUGUUCCUCCUUUUUUACCCAGACCGACUGCUUCAUGCUGGGCUUCAGACAUGAGAGGCUAGGAGUAGGAGGCAUGCCUUGUUCAAAGAUACCCAGUUCUCCCAGGACCAUUUGUUGAAAAGGCAGGCACCUCAUUUUACAGAAGAGGAAACUGAGGCCCAGAAAGAGAAGUGGCAUGCCCAAGGCUGUGCCAGAAGCAAAGUGUAAAAUAGAUCCUGAGCCUCCGACUCCUGGUCAGUGCUAUACAUACAUUUACAUUUAACAUAAAUUUAAAUUUAAAAAAUUUAAAUUGGUUGAAUAUGAAAAUAAGUUAUUUUGUUAGCUCUCGGGUUCACUAAUGAUGUAAUUUCUAACAAAUGAAUAAAAGUUAGGUUGAUGGAGCAGGUGAUAAUUUUAAUAUGUUGUUCACAAAUUCUUUGGUAUUUCUUUUCUCAAGAGGUGGAACUUAAUUCUCCUUUCUUUAAGUGUGAACUGAACUUAGUAACUUGCUCCUAAAGAUUAGAACGUGGCAGAAAUGACAGUGAGUGGCUUCUGAGACAAGGUCAUAAAAGGCAUUACAGUUUCCUCCUCGAUUUCUCUCUCAGUAACUCCUCCAGGGGACAGCAGCAUCUCUUCUGACUCUUUGCUUCCAUGUCUUGAGGAAGCAGCCUCCUGCCUAUGGCCAUCUGAGGAAGCCAUCUUGGAAGCAGACCCCUCAGCCCCAGUCAAGCCUUCAGAUGACUGAAGUCUCAGCUGACAUCUUGACUUUAAUUUAAAAAAAAAAAAAAAAAAAAAAAAACAAACAAACAAACAAAAAAAAACUCCAAGCCAGAACUACCCCCAACUGGAAUUUGAGAGCUGCUUUCAAAUCCUGACCCAUAGAAACUUAGAUAAUAAAUGUUUGUUGUUUUAAGCCACUCAUUUUUAGAGAAAUUUGUUAUGCAGCAAUAGCUAGCUAAUACAGAGAAUUAACCAGCCUCUCUUAAAUUACCACCACAAAAUCAACUACCUAUUUUAUUAAAAGGUAAAACCAGCUGCUGAAGAACGUUUUUCCUCUCAAGGCUUUGGCACUUAAGAUUCAACAGUAAGAAGGAUUGAAGAGUGAAGGCUUCCUGGCUACCCCGUGGCAUCCUGUGUUUGGUUUGAAGCGUGAUAAGCCUGGGUUGCUCUUCCAGUCCACCUUGUAAGAGACUGAUGUGGAAAAAUGUGUCUCUUCUCAAGGGCUAACUCUGGAAGCUUGGGAAAAUAUUCUAGAUUUGGAUCACAUUAAAAUGGGUAUUAGACCUAGGUUCUAGUUCCAUCUCUAAGAUCUGGAUAUGUCAAAAUCCUUUUCCCUUUGUAGGUUUUAAGUUUGGCCUCUUUAAAUAAAGAAACAAUCACCCAUGCUUUGUCUUUUAACUUGCUACUUAAAACAAGGAGCUGAAGACACUGGCCAUCAUCAAAUAACUAAUGGACAAUUCCCACUGCCUCGCUGAAAUUUGCAGUCUGACUCUCAUCAUCUCUUGCCUUUUUUUUUUUGCUUUGGCUGUGUUUGUGAAACUGCCUUUGCAAAGAUUAUGAGAGGGAGUCUAGCAUGGCCAACUCCAUCUUGCUUCUAGCCUCAUGGGCUGGCUUCCCUUGCUCAUUCCUAGCCAUAGGCCAAGCUAACCAUGGGAGGAAUUUAGUUUAUAGUUUAACUUUGAAGCAAAGAUGAUACUAUUUUAUCCCUAAAACAGAUCCCUUCCUUGUUCGGGUUCUGAAACCACCUUUGUAAGACUAAUGAAAAGCCACAAGAUUAGGAUUAUGGAAAGGGCCUGAAUCCUGCUCAAAUGGAGGCAUCAUUUCUAUACUUCCUUACUGCUCAGGAGUUAUGUGGCCAAAUGGCACAGAGUUGUGACUUCCUCAAUUGCUCCUGUGGAUAACAUCACUAUUGUAGAACCUAAGGCUGGUCUUUUGAGCUGUUUUUCAGAUUUUUGCAUUCUGGCAACUGAGUGAUGCCUCCCAGACUCAUGACUCAACCAGUCCUAUGGCCUCCACCCAGAGGUGGACUCAGCACAUGAGGACUGUUUUCCUCGCACUUCUGUGAUCUCAUCCCUAACCAAUCAGUAGCACUCAUUCCCUAGCUCCCUGCCCACCAAAUUUUCCAUAAAAAGCCUAGCCUCUGAGCUCUUGGGGAGAUUGACUUGAGUGAUAAACUCCAGUUCUUCUCUAUGGCCAGUCUUGUAUUAAUUAAACUCUUUCUUUACUGCAAUACCAUGGUCUCAGUGAAUGGUUUGAUCUGUGCAGCAUGCAGGAAAAACUCAUCAAUCAAUUACAUUUGUCACUAAGUCCUCUCAGCUGGAGACUCAUCAAUGAUAUUAAAUUUUAAAAAACUACCAAGCGAAUACAAUUCAAGUGGAAGCUCACCUGUGGAGCAAUGGGAACACACUGUUAUUCAACAGGGCUGAAGUCUGAAUCAGAUGCCCGGAGGAGAUACGUUGUCUUGGCUUUGCCACUCACUGGCUAUGUGAUCUUGGAUAAGUCACCUCACUCCUCUUGAUCUCAGCUCCCUCUUCUUUAAGAAAAAAAAUAAAGUAGUGAUAAUUUUAAUAGUCAACAUUUACUGACUGUAAUCUAAAAAUGGGGUUAAGUAAAUUGCAUGCAUUACCUUUAACACAACUGUGACAUAGGAAUUAUUGUAACAUAAACAGCCUCAUAAAAUCUGUAUUUUACAGAUAAGGAAACUAAGUUUCAGAGAUAAUAAGUGGUGGAGCCGGAUUCAAACCCAAGUUCUUAACCACCAAGAUCAUAGCAAUUAUAAAUCAGUUUCAGCUUGAAUUUGAACUCUCUGGAUGCUAGGAUUCAGAAGAGAUGUGACAUCUGUGAAGAACUGAUGGUGUCAGUCUGCCAGGCAUUUAGUUAUAUGAGGAACCCAGAGUGAGGUUAGCAUCAGGGAGUCACUGGUUCUAGAGCAGAGGGAAGAUUCUAUUUACUUUUGAUGUUGGUCACUACAAAGUUAUGGUGCCAGCAAGAGAGCAAAGUAAAAACAAAAAGGCCUGGGAUAUUAGUAUGCAGGUCAUCUGGAGAAUUGGUGCCAGCAUCUUCUGUAGUAAUUGAUGAGGAUGCCCCAUCAUUGACAUCAACGACGUUGACAGUGGACACUGGCAGGAAUUGAAUGCCUUGAGCAGACACCAGUCACAGUGUCGGCAGUGGCUGGGAGUCAUUACCCCCAAUGUGCCACGGCCGGAGGGGAUAAAUGCAGCAGAUGUCACAUGGCAGCCCAGAGGAGCAGUUUGCAGAGCACAUGUGAGAAACCCUCUGAGGAUACCCAGGAGACACCACGGGAGACAGAAACCCAGGACUGUACUUGAAUGAAAUUCGAGAGAGAGCUUACAUUUCUAUAGAACAGAAGUGUAUCUUCCUGAAGAAAUUUUGUGUUUGCUCUUGAGAUCCUAUUUUUACCCUCAGACUUGGGUGGUCUGAAAAAUGUAGGUUACUGAUGAGAUGGAAGGGUGCGACUCCACAGUGCUCUGCAAGGGUCUUUCACUUUGCCUCAUGAUUCCCAGAAUUACAGCAUUUCAAACUCCAUUGACAGAAACACCAGGGCUGGCAAAUGCAGUGCAGAUCCAUUGGUGAGUCUUGAAAGGAUUUCUGAUGCUAAUUUGUUGCCCUUGGGACUAACUGGAGUUAAAUUAUGAUUAUUCCUAAUGUGGUGGUCCCAGUACUGUUUGGCGAGGAACGUGAAUACUUUCUCUAACUGGCCACAGUGCUCUCCAGGGAAAGAUGUUUGAUCUGGGGCACUGAGGCAUUCUUCCCUGCUGAUUGUUGGGAAAUGCAGCUCCUCUGUGGAAAGGGGCUUUGCUGCCAUCGUAUUGAGGUAAGUGCCUAUAGGGAAGAGAGGUGAAGUGGGGGAGACGUAGACCACAUUCCUCCUACCAGGAAAAAGGGGCUGGCUUCUUUCUGAGAACUGCUUUCUGCUGGGAAGGGGCUGGAUGAGCCAUGUAACCCCACCUUUUGCUUGGAAAUGAAGAGCUUUCCCACUCCAGAGGAAGGAGAGGGGAGGAGAGGAGGGAAAGGGCUGCAGAGCAUGUUCCUCCCGUUCCCUCUCAAGCAGAAAGGAAAGCUGUCUUCAAUUAGGAAGGGGAAGGAGAUUCAAAACAUCUGGCGGGAAAAGUGCUGGUUCUGGAGGGUCUUUGGGAGGAGGAUGGAGGCUUGUGGACAGCGCGCCUGCCUUGCUGGACCUGACACAGCCCUCUGAGAGUCUGUCACCACCUCUUCCUCUUCAGCUCUGUCUGGUCUCCUUGUGAGGCUGAGCCUUUGGCUGCCUCCUGCCCUGGGCUAAAGGAAGCAGUAACAGCAGCCACAACCUGGGCAGCACAGCCCACAGCUUUCUCCUCGGGGGUCAAUGGGUAAUUUGCACAACAGAGAGACCACCCACGGAGGCAGUACAGAGUUCACAACCUCUAGCACUUAGGCAUCUAAUCAGUUUGGUUUUGCCUGUGGAGAGCUUCCCCUUGAAUCUCAAAGCUACCAAGCUGCCUUCCUCCCCAUCCUUUAAAAUACUUCCAGGCUCCCAUCUCCUCUUAGGAGCCUUCUUGAAAUAUUUGCAGAAACUUUAUAUUCCUCCUCCCCAACCACAUACACAAUGUCACAGCUGCCUCUUCCAUUUGCUUGCAUCUCCUGUGGACUGCUCACCUUCUCCACCCCAAGCAAAGCAGAUGGCUGAGGGACAUUCAGGUUGCUUACAGAGCUGUGGAAAAUUCUCUGGAAAUCACCUGCCUGUCCUAGAGACCCCAGGUUUCCCAGGAGUCACAAGGCACCAAAGCCUGGAGGUUCCUUAAAGAUCACCUGCUGGGUGGGAUUUACUACAUUCCCCAGGAGGUCACGGCCCAGGGCCUCUGAUCAGGAUUUCCUUUGGGGUGGGCAGAUUGGGUGUGGAAAGGAGGCCAGGAAAGGCCUUUUGGUUUUCUCAAUGACUGACAGAGCAGAGGGGUGAUCUGAGAAGGAGCUGGGCAUUCCAGGAUUGUGCAAAUGUGGGCCCAGCAUCUGUUUUCCAUUAGCCUCUUUCAUUGAAACAUGGUAGUCUCUUAUGAGUUUAAAGUUUGUAUUAAGCAUCCAGGCCCUAGAAAGUUCUUUGUUUCAUGGAAGGUGAACUCCCCAUCCCACUUAAAAGCCAUGGAAUUGUGUGCCAUAUCCCAAAGGAGCACCCAUUCAAAGGCACAUGCCAAAGCUUUAUCCCUGCCCUAUGGGCCAUGAUGGCUCCUGAGACUUCCAGCCAUGAUGGCAAGAAGCAGUUGACUAUCACUCCUAAACCUCAG
rnacentral:lncRNA from 1 species